rnacentral:misc_RNA from 1 species
GCAAACUUGGUCAUUUAGAGGAAGUAAAAGUCGUAACAAGGUUUCCGUAGGUGAACCUGCGGAAGGAUCAUUAACGAGAGAGAGCAUGCCCGGAGGUUACUCAUGUACCCCCCCCGGGCGUCUCCCCCCCAAACCGUGUCUACUUGAAAAUCGUCAGUUGCCUCGGCGGGCCGUUCGGGCCCCCUUUCAGGGGGAGCGACGGUCGCUUCUCCCCCCCGGGAGAGUGACCCGUGCCCGCCGGAGGAUAUACUACCACAAAAGAUCCUUGAUAUCUUGACUGUCUGAGUGGGAUGCCAGAAAUAUUAGUUAAAACUUUCAACAACGGAUCUCUUGGUUCCAGCAUCGAUGAAGAACGCAGC